rnacentral:rRNA from 1 species
GAUGAACGCUGGCGGCGUGCCUAAUACAUGCAAGUCGAGCGAAUGGAUUAAGAGCUUGCUCUUAUGAAGUUAGCGGCGGACGGGUGAGUAACACGUGGGUAACCUGCCCAUAAGACUGGGAUAACUCCGGGAAACCGGGGCUAAUACCGGAUAACAUUCUGAACCGCAUGGUUCGAAAUUGAAAGGCGGCUUCGGCUGUCACUUAUGGAUGGACCCGCGUCGCAUUAGCUAGUUGGUGAGGUAACGGCUCACCAUGGCAACGAUGCGUAGCCGACCUGAGAGGGUGAUCGGCCAAACUGGGACUGAGACACGGACCAGACUCCUACGGGAGGCAGCAGUAGGGAAUCUUCCGCAAUGGACGAAAGUCUGACGGAGCAACGCCGCGUGAGUGAUGAAGGCUUUCGGGUCGUAAAACUCUGUUGUUAGGGAAGAACAAGUGCUAGUUGAGUAAGCUGGCACCUUGACGGUACCUAACCAGAAAGCCACGGCUAACUACGUGCCAGCCGCCGCAGUAA